AUGUCUGGUCGCAAUAUCUCGGAAAACUUCCUCUACGCCGCUGACAUUCUUCACUGCUGCGCCAAGAAAAAGGCUCCAGCCAUCAUCGUCAAGCUGGACUUUCGGAAAGCGUUCGACUCAAUCUGUUGGUCCCCCCUCCUCCACACCUUACAGGUUAGGGGCUUCCGACCUUGCUGGUGUGACUGGAUCCGAUCUCUGCUUACCACUGGAUCCACCACUGUUAUGCUUAAUGGCAUCCCAGGGAAGUGGAUCCAAUGCAAGAACGGACUCUGGCAAGGUGACCCCCUAUCACCU
rnacentral:rRNA from 1 species